UGAUCAGCCACACUGGGACUGAGACACUGCCCAGACUCCUACGGGAGGCUGCAGUCGAGGAUCAUUUGCAAUGCGCGAAAGCGUGACAAUGCGACGCUGCGUGGAGGAUGAAGGCUUUCGAGUCGUAAACUCCUGUCAUUCGGGAAAAAUAAACUGGCUCUGAAUAGGCGCCGGAAUUGAUGGUACCGAAAGAGGAAGCCACGGCUAACUCUGUGCCAGCAGCCGCGGUAAUACAGAGGUGGCAAGCGUUGUUCGGAUUUACUGGGCGUAAAGGGUGCGUAGGUGGUUCCGUACGUCGGACGUGAAAGCCCAUGGCUCAACCAUGGAAGGUCGUCCGAAACUGCGGGACUAGAGUACAGGAGAGGAGAGCGGAAUUCUUGGUGUAGCGGUGAAAUGCGUUGAUAUCAAGAAGAACACCGGUGGCGAAGGCGGCUCUCUGGAAUGUUACUGACACUGAGGCACGAAAGUUGGGGGAGCAAACAGGAUUAGAUACCCUGGUAGUCCCAACCUUAAACGGUGUGAACUUGGUGUGGGGGGUAUUGACCCCUCCCGUACCGGAGCUAACGCGUUAAGUUCACCGCCUGGGGAGUACGGUCGCAAGGCUAAAACUCAAAGAAAUCGACGGGGGCCCGCACAAGCGGAGGAGCAUGUGGCUCAAUUCGAUGCAACGCGAAGAACCUUACCAGGGCUUGACAUGUAGCUGCACGCCCGCCGAAAGGUGGGAAGCCUUCGAGGGUGCUACACAGGUGGUGCAUGGCUGUCGUCAGUUCGUGCCGUGAGGUGUUGGGUUAAGUCCCGCAACGAACGCAACCCCUAUGUUUAGUUGCAACCGCAGGUGAUGAGCCUGCGGGCACUCUAGACAGACUGCCCGUGCAAGCGGGAGGAAGGUGGGGAUGACGUCAAGUCAGUAUGUCCCUUACGCCCUGGGCUGCACACGUGCUACAAUGGCAGGUACAGUGAGAAGCAAGACCGCGAGGUGGAGCAAAUCUCCAAAACCUGCCUCAGUUCGGAUUGGAGUCUGCAACUCGACUCCAUGAAGUUGGAUUCGCUAGUAACGGCGCAUCAGCUACGGCGCCGUGAAUACGUUCCCGGGCCUUGUACACACCGCCCGUCACAUCAUGAAAGCCGUCUGCACCCGAAGUCGCUGUACCAACCCGCAAGGGAGGAAGGCGCCGAAGGUGUGGGUGGUGAUUGGGAUGAAGUCGUAACAAGGUA
rnacentral:rRNA from 1 species